rnacentral:lncRNA from 1 species
CCGGUUUGUGAUGGAUCAGGAUUUGAAAAGGACAAAUCUGUAAUUAGAUGAAAAAAAAAAUGUGAAAUAUUGCCCUAAGGCAAAAGGAAUUAAUUCUUGGAUUUUAAUAUAUAUUGCAAGUUGCACGUUCCCAACUCAAGAGGCAUAAAUGUUCAAAUGUUUGAAAGGAUUAGUAAGAGAGAUAUUGCGACUGUGAUAACCCGUUGCUGCCAAGGUAGUACGACUUCUGACUAUUUUGGAUCUCUGCAACCAAUAGCCCUUGUCGUCGACGUCGUAAUUGGCCCGACAACGCUGUUGAGAACUUGUAGCCUCCAACGAAACCAGUGAGAUAUUGGGGAGGGAAUCACCCUCAUGAAGUAAUGGCUAGAUUUCCUGCCACUUCUGCGAUGUAGGAUCGCCACAACCUCUAGCGACCGCCAUCAAGUCACAGUGGAGAUUCGCUUCUUCGACGAUGUCAGAUUUCCAACGAAGUUUCCGCAUUUAAUUUCAUUGGGCAAACAAGCUUUGAAAGGUUCACAAUAAACUUGACUCUCAUUAGCAAGAGAGUCUUAAGUCUUUGGAUCCUCUGGAAGUCAUGACCGUGAAGGAAAAGAUAGAUACAGUUAUUGUUGAAGCUUUAGAUCCUUGUAUCUGUAAAAUUAGGGAUGAGAAAUAUGGAUGGAAAUAUAGUUGCGGAGCAAAAGGAAGAAUUGUAUCUCUAGAAUUAUAAUGAUGAAAAUGCACUUGGAGGAGCACCGAUUAUGCAGCCAACUAUUUUGGUCGCCGAGGUAAUUAAAGCCCCAGCGAAGCUCUUCUAAUCUGGUAAGUGCAAACCUCAGCCACAAACAGAAACAAUUUCUGGACUUUGGAAGGCCUUUGAUAGCCUCCAAUGGUAAGUACAAACCUAUGUAACCUGAGUGAAAACCUCCAGCAAUCUUCGGUCAGUUGCAGAAAAAAAACGAUUUAUUGAUUUGAGUGGAAAAUCUGCCUUCAGAGAUAUUAUUAAAGGAGAAAGACCGAUCAGUUAGGUUAGAAAUUAACUUUUGGAAUUUGGAUUGGCAAGUUGAUGAAGGGAAAAUAUAGUAUGGGAAAAAUGAGAAAGCAAAGAGUAUUCAUCCAUCGAAUUGAAAAAUGCACUCUAGAUGCUCGAUGGUAUUCCCAGCUCGAAAUUCAGCACCCUAGCUGCUACCUUUUAAGUGAAUUGUAAAGGGAUGCCUGUGCCUUGCCGAUUAGUGGGCAGAUGAUGUUGACAAGCUUUGCAGUGACUAGCGAACCUAUUUUAGGCUCA